AUGUGCUUUCUUGGUAUCCUAAAUAUAAGAUUAAUACUUCAAGUUGCUGAGUUGAGAAAGAGAUGGUUGAAUCAAAAGAAUUCCUUUUUUGAAGUUCAAUUUUUAUCAGAGGACAAUAUGAAUAUUAUACCUUGUUCCAUUAAAACACUCAAGGGGUUAUACGAUAUAUCGGGUGUAGAAGUAGGCCAACACUUCUAUUGGCAAAUAGGAGGUUUCCAAAUUCAUGCCCAAGUACUCAUCACUUCUUGGGUCGUAAUUACUAUCUUGCUAGGUUCAGUUGUCAUAGCUGUUCGGAAUCCACAAACCAUCCCGACCGAC
rnacentral:rRNA from 1 species